AUUUAUAUAAAAAAUACUACAUGACUACAUUAUGACUGCUACCCCUCUAUCCUCCACUUACAUCAUCCACUUUUGCAAUGAUUGUCCUGAGCUUCCUCCCUAUCAGAAUGGAGAUCCAGCUCAGACAGGAACUUGGAUUGAAGUGAGAGUGUGGUGAUUUUCUUAUAUUCAGCAUUGAUAUGAGAACAGGGAUACACACAAAUGACAAAGAUUCAAAAACAUCAGGAAGGAUUCCACAGUCACACAGACAGCAGAACAGGACAGCCAAGAAGGAAAAUGUGUGAUCAGGCCAGGCAACCUAAGCAAAAAAAUCGGCAUGAAAUAAGCCUUACAUCACUGACUUCAAACAGAGAAGGCCACCUUGCCAUGAAUUCUUCAGUCAUUGGUGAAUCACGAACAACUUCAUGUCUUCUGUAUGCAAUUUCUCUUUUGUUCCUGUUCUUUACAUCUAAGAGGAGGGCUUUCUUCAUGGCCUCCAGACUGUCUUCAGUUUCAGCUGAUGGAUCCACUUGAUGGGGAACUGUCUGAGAGAGGAGUGAAUGCCUGUGGGAUUGGGACUGAAUCCGGGACUGGAUAAUCUUGCUACAUGGCGGUGGGCCUUGACAUGUCAAUAACUUUAAGAGUACAUUUGUCCUCUACUUCUGCAAUUGAGUUUAGGUUAAGGAACUCAUUUCCAACCAAGGAAUCCAUAAUAGUGCCCUGACGUCCACAUUGUUUCUUCACUUCAGUCAUAAGAUCUUCAACAGAUGCAGGGAGUCUUGACAGGGAGUCAACCACUGGGAGGUGCCAUCAUUCAAGACAAUCUUAAGGACCACAGGAGUUACCACCUUCAAAGUUUGUUACCCUGUGAACAGAGACAAAAAUAUUAAGUCAGACAUCCAUAAAUUUUACAGUUUUUAGGGACCAAAUAUGCUUCAUUGGUAAGAACUUUCAUAAUGUUAAUGAAAAAAGAAAUUAUGGUUGUUAAGCCCCCCCCCACACACACCAAUAAAUACCCAAUAAAUAAAUAAAUUAGUGACCCC
rnacentral:lncRNA from 1 species